GAUUAGAGUUUGAUCAUGGCUCAGAUUGAACGCUGGCGGCAUGCUUUACACAUGCAAGUCGAACGGCAGCGGGGGCUUCGGCCUGCCGGCGAGUGGCGAACGGGUGAGUAAUGCAUCGGAACGUGCCCAUGUCGUGGGGGAUAACAGUAUCGAAAGGUACGCUAAUACCGCAUACGUCCUGAGGGAGAAAGCGGGGGAUCGCAAGACCUCGCGCGAUUGGAGCGGCCGAUGUCGGAUUAGCUAGUAGGUGAGGUAAAGGCUCACCUAGGCGACGAUCCGUAGCGGGUCUGAGCGGAUGAUCCGCCACACUGGGACUGAGACACGGCCCAGACUCCUACGGGAGGCAGCAGUGGGGAAUUUUGGACAAUGGGGGCAACCCUGAUCCAGCCAUGCCGCGUGAGUGAAGAANGCCUUCGGGUUGAAAGCUCUUUCGGCCGGAAGAAAUCGNGUUCUCUACUAGGACAUGGUACGGNCCGGACUAGAACACCGGUUACUCGUCCACAGCCGCNNU
rnacentral:rRNA from 1 species